CAUUCGCGCCUGUAUCUUGCUGAACCGUUGCCAAUAUUGGCCUACGAUCCGGUUGAGCAAAAUUUCAGGUGUGUGAGAAA
rnacentral:pre_miRNA from 1 species